rnacentral:rRNA from 1 species
UACGAAGGGGGCUAGCGUUGUUCGGAAUUACUGGGCGUAAAGCGCGCGCAGGCGGUCCUUCAAGUCAGAGGUGAAAGCCCAGAGCUCAACUCUGGAAUGGCCUUUGAGACUAGAGGACUUGGGUACGGGAGAGGUGAGUGGAAUUCCGAGUGUAGAGGUGAAAUUCGUAGAUAUUCGGAAGGACACCAGUGGCGAAGGCGGCUCACUGGCCCGUUACCGACGCUCAGGCGCGACAGCGUGGGGAGCAAACAGG